UAUUGGGCUGAUAUUUUUCAAUCUGUCAAAAUAUAAGAAACAUAUGGAUCAAGAGUCCAGAUCAAAGAGAACGGAGAAUGACGACAUCUCAUCACUUCGCUCUUGGAUAACCCUAAAACGGCCAGCCGACGAAUCUCUUCGACAUUCCAUCUCACCUCUGCGCAUGGCGACCAAGUGAUGUUCUUCAGAGAUGCUUCACUCCGUCCACGCGAAGCCAAGUUGAAGUUUCGUCUGAUUCACAUCGGGGAGGCUCGAAAUCCAAAGUCGAAGAUCCUUAUUGGACAAGAGAUUCUCCUUAUCGACGAAGAGGGAACGGUUAUUUAUCUACCGCCACCUCCGUGAGUGGUCGCUCUGGAGCUAUUUGCGUAGGAAAUCGCGCCUUUCCGUUUUGCUCAGCCUUUGAGUUCUCUCCUCUUCCUGUGUUAACGUGUUCCUCUUCUUGGUGUCUCUGUUUCUCAUAUCUGCUAUUGUUGAUUUUGUCUAGAAGCAGCAGGUCUAUUCUAAGUUGCUGCGUCCGAGUUUCAUUACGGUCCAAACCAUGUCAGAGUCUCAGACAGCUCUAAAGAAUCAGCCACAGUCCUCGGCCUCCUCUGGAAAGAAGCAAGCUUUGAUAUCUUUAUCUGACAAGUAGGAUUAAGCUACUCUUGGCAACGGUCUUCAAGAGUUAGGAUACACUAUCGUUUGUACUCGAGGAACUGCCUCUACCUUGGAGAAUGCUGGAGUCUCUGUCACCAAAGUGGAGACUUUCUCUUCCCUCAUUCUUUAGCUGGUGAAGCUUAAUGACCGUGCGAAGACUUUGCACCCAAACAUACACGGUGGUAUCCUCGCUAGAAGAGAUGUGGAGCAUCAUAUGGAAGCUUUUAAUGAGCAUGGCGUUGGUACAUUUGAUGUGGUGGUUAUCAAUUUGUAUCCGUUCUACGACAAAGUUACUGCUCCAGGUGGGAUCAGUUUUGAGGAUGGGAUUGAGAACAUCGACAUUGGUGGUGCUGCUAUGAUUAAAGCAGUUGCUAAGAACCACAAAGAUGUCCUCAUCGUUGUCGAUUCAGAGGAUUAUCAAGCUGUUUUGGAGUAUCUCAAAGGAGCUCAGAACGACCAAAAAUUCCGCAGGAAAUCUGCGUGGAAGGCCUUUCAGCACAUUGCUGCUUAUGAUUCCGCUGUCUCAGAAUGGCUAUGGAAGCAGACUGAGGGACGUAGGUGCUUAUUUUUUAUGUGAUCCUCCUUACACUAGAUCGAGAUGUAGUGGCUUCCAGUUGAAUCUCAUAUCAGUUUGAGGUUUUAAUACGUUAAUUCUUAUCAGUUGUGUUGGAUACCAGCCGUCAGUGUCCUUAGAUACGGUGUGGAGCUUGCUGUUGCAGAUAAGAGUGAUGAAGCUGUUUACGUCGGUUCUGGUGGGGAGAUAACAAAACUAACUAAUAUUAGAGCCGCUGAAGCUGGGCACCUUCACGCCGCAAGUGUUGAGAAUCGUAAAGACAGCCAGCUCCCUCUGUCCAUAACUUGAUGGGAGAAACAUACAGUUUUCAGCUAGGCUGACACAUUUCAGUUUGACUUCUAAUCAUCAGACCUUCACGAUUUCAUCCAUUUUUAAUAAGCGUAACUGUCCACCAGUCCCAGAUUUCGUUGUUGAUGGAGUGAGCUCACUUACCAUCAAUGUCUGUGCCGGUCCUCCUGAUAAUGAGAAUGAACCAGCUGGUGAAACAACUGCAGGUGGUGCAUCGGUCACGAACUUGCUGAUCCCGACGAGUUUAAAGCAACUAAGAAGGCACGCCUUACAUAGAUUGAAGAGGAUAGUCGUCAGCCACGGCGUCGGCUCCUAGAAUAAUACUUGUGCAUAGUUGUUGGCAUGUUGCUUUUAUUACAUCAUCUGGCGUAAACAGUUUACAACUGACUAUAAACCCAAUCAUGUUUGGAAAUUCAUUAUCUUUGUCUACAAGUCGGUGAACUAUUCUAUUUGCGUA